rnacentral:rRNA from 2 species
CACGUGGGGAUGUGCCCAAAGGUACGGAAUAGCCUCGGGAAACUGGGAGUAAUACCGUAUGUGCCCUUCGGGGGAAAGAUUUAUCGCCUUUGGAUCAACCCGCGUUAGAUUAGCUUGUUGGUGGGGUAAAGGCUCACCAAGGCGACGAUCUAUAGCUGGUCUGAGAGGAUGAUCAGCCACACUGGGACUGAGACACGGCCCAGACUCCUACGGGAGGCAGCAGUGGGGAAUAUUGGACAAUGGGCGCAAGCCUGAUCCAGCCACGCCGCGUGGGUGAAGAAGGCCCUAGGGUUGUAAAGC